GUAGGUGGCAAGCGUUGUCCGGAAUUAUUGGGCGUAAAGCGCGCGCAGGCGGUUCUUUAAGUCUGAUGUGAAAGCCCACGGCUCAACCGUGGAGGGUCAUUGGAAACUGGAGAACUUGAGUACAGAAGAGGAAAGCGGAAUUCCACGUGUAGCGGUGAAAUGCGUAGAGAUGUGGAGGAACACCAGUGGCGAAGGCGGCUUUCUGGUCUGUAACUGACGCUGAGGCGCGAAAGCGUGGGGAGCAAACAGGAUUAGAUACCCUGGUAGUCCACGCCGUAAACGAUGAGUGCUAAGUGUUAGGGGGGUUUUCCGCCCCCCUUAGUGCUGCAGCUAACGCAUUAAGCACUCCGCCAGGGAGUACGGCCGCAAGGCUG
rnacentral:rRNA from 1 species